GAAGAGAGAAACUGAGAGAUCUUAUGCUUACUUUAAAAGGGAUUGUUUUCAUCAGAAAAACAACUACUGGAGGGCAUGCCAUGAAUUGUGGGGGUGGGUCUUAUCCUAAACUUAAAGGCAAACAUCUCAUGAGUUGAACUCAAGGUGCGUGAAAUUCAUGCUGAACUGCUGCUUUUCAAGUCUGACUGGAUAAAUUCACAAGGAGUGGGAGCCCCAAAAGGGAUGGAAAUAUAUCAAACUUAGGAGGAAUGCUAAAAGCUUCACCCUGAACAAGCAUAUUGUCCCUUCUGGUCCAUAUAAAAUGCAGCUACUCAGGACAUGACAACUUACAGAUAGCAGGCCAGAUCCAGCCUUCAGAGCCUUUGGAUCUAGCCCCCUGAGCUCCCUUCACCGUAUUGCAGUGAGCUGCCUCAAACUUACUCAUGGCUCCAACUGUGGACUACAAAUCCCAGAGGCACCUGGAAGCAGGAAGAGGAAAUGAUGAGCAACCAUGUAGAGUUCUGCUGCUGUAAUUCUGGACUGCAAAUCCCAGAGCCCUUGGGAGCAGCAGGAGGAGGAAGCAAACACACAGCCCAUGCUAGCUAUAUGCCAGAGACCCACACUCUAGCAUCCCCCAAUUUCUGGCCUGAGACACUACAGGCAUAUGGCUGCAUUUCCUGAAUCCAAAGUGACUGUCUGUCCAGUUGUUUCUUGAUUUAAUGUCUGCAGCUUAGACUAACCCACCCCUACUCUAUCGCAUUCUAUUCUUGCAUUCUAGAAACCUAUCAUUAAUGAGCUAAGAAUCCCUUGCAUACACAUUCAUUGUCAUAGAUGUUCAUUUUUCCCUUGAUUAAGAUUUCACAUUUUUUGAAAGGGCAGUCCUGUAAUAUUUUUUUAGAAUCUAUAUUUUGUCUGUUGGUUAAAGGAUUCCAUAUGACUUGUUUACUUCUCUUCAAGAGAUUGAUAUUUGGAUUUGUUAGGUGGCAAUGGACGGAUGCUGUAAAAUACUUUUUGGCAAUCUACAAAUGAAAUCACUUUUCCUGCGCUCCCGCCCCUCUUUCUGUUUGCUUUCUGCAAACAUUAGAAUGAUCGAGUUUUACUUGCAUGGAUGCUCAUGGAAAGCAAAUUUUAAGCUUGCACGCUCGAAUACUGCCAUAUAGCAGAAGUGCCAGGUUGAGAUGACAAAGCUAUGCUGGUGCCUUGAGCCUAAACUUGCUUAAUGAGGGACAAAAUUCUUCACCCACUGCUGCUGCGACCAUUUCUCUUCAUUGUGCUCUCUGCAAUUAGUAUGUUUAAAAGGGACAAUGCUUGCCAUUCCUAGGGGCAGAGUUUUCCAAAAACUCUAUGGCCCUGGCACAUGGGAAAUUACACAAAGAUCUGAUUGUGCCUUUAGCAACUAUAAUUGUGCAUGUACAUCCAAUUUUUUGAGGUGAAUGUGACGAAAAUGAAUAAUUCUGCACCCAGACAACAAAUCUUACAGAACCAUAAUGUUGGUUGGACUAAAGCCUUAGGUAGUCUGUCUAGCCCUCUUCUGCAAAUUAUGAAAUGUGGUGAUAGUGCUUAUCUGGGAAAAUCUAUGCCUCUGACUUCUCUGCUUGAAAAAAAAGUUAUGCCUAUCUGGUUAGCUGCUGGAAACAAGGGAAUGUGGUUUCUAUCAUUGUUUAUAACUAAUGUAACCCAUAUUUUGAAUACUAUGCAGCAAACAUGCAGCAAAUUGUUUGGUCAUCUAAGAAGUAAAAUAAAUAAAUAAACUGGUCAAGUGCAUUUGAAUUGCAGAUAAAUCUGAGGAAAUCACAGUCUAUAUGCCUAUAUUCAGUGAACAGAAGAAAAAAGCUGCACAGGAUGGGCAAAUUGUCAGGGGGAAAGGGAACAUCAGUUUUCAGGAGGAAAUGGUUUAAAAUAAAUGUCACAUGGUGAGUCGAAGCUGGAAGGCAGAUACUGAGUUUCAACUUUACAACGCUUGAUCUGAUGUGAUGCCACGCCAGUGAACAAGUUGCUGUGUCACCCAUCUCCCUGGAGAACACCUGUCCAAACUUCCUUGGAUACUUUCUUUAAGAAAGCAGACAAGACUCCAGAAGAACCUGCAGCCAAGACUCCUGAGAAGACUGCAGCCAAGAGCCCUUCAAAAAGUCCAACCAAGAGCCCUUCAAAAAGUCCAGCAAAGUUACCUCAAAGAAGUCUUUCCAAAUCAAUAUGAUUGCUAUUUACAACAUAAAUACAUUAAUGUAGCUAUAUUACUCAUCUAUAAUUGAUUGAGUACAAAAUUCUGGGUUAUUUUUUAUGAUAACAGGGUAUCAGGCCUUGGCUCAAGAACCAAUCCCCAAUUUAUAACAUUGUUUCCUAUAGGAAAAUCAGUUCCGAGUUACAAUGUUUCGACUUAAGAUGCCAUUUUCAGGAACCAAUUGUGUUGUAAGUCCCUUGACUGCCUGUAAUCUGGUUUGCUGAGAACGGAAUUAGAAGUCACAAACCUGGAUUCUCUUCUAAUGUAUGCUAUGGAACAAAUCCUUUAGGCCUAAUGAUCAAAAUGCUCUUUAAUUUUAGACAGUUUUAGUUCUUUUUUGAGUGCCAGUUUGAAGAAUCUAUUGAGCACAUGAAAAUGGCUUCAACUUUGGUCUCAGUUUUCUGCUCCCCCCCCCCGCCCCACAACACACACACACACACACACUCUUUAUUCAAAUCCAAAAUGAAGGGCUUUCCCUCCAGGCUGAAAGGGAAAAAAACCCACCUCAUCUUUGAUUAGAGUAAAUACAGUACACACACGCGCACACACUUACAGAGUAUAUAGUGGUGAAGAAUGCUUCACAUUCAAAAUCUUGUCUAAGUCUAUCCCAACCAUGCAGUUGGUCCAAUAAAAGAUAUAACCCACAAAUAUCCUAGUCUUGUAUAAAAUUGGUAUGUGUAUGCACACAUACAUGUUACAUUUUAGAUAUUUUAAUGCAAAAAAAAAAUAAUGUAUAAUUUAAAAUCCACAUUCUGCAUUAUCAGGAAAGGAGGUGUGAAAUACUCAUGUCUCCAGGAUGUCAGCACAUUUGAAUCAAAGGAUUAGCGUAGUUCAUGAGAAUGAAAUUGCAUAUUCAGAACAAAAUGACUUGAUUUCCCUCCAGACUUGAGUCAUUUCGUGUGACACCAGAACAUCAAGGUGAAAAAAAUAACUUUAAAAGUAUUUUGAUUGAUUAUAGAUAUUUUUGGCAUGGAGCUUUUCCCCUUUCCCCUUUGGAAAGCAAGUCAAAAUGGGGGUGGCCAUAAUAACCCUUCUUAUAAAAAAAAAAAAAAAAAAGAAAGCAUUGUGUUCUGUUGAAGUAGUUGACUUUGAUUUAAGAAGCUGGUGAACCGUGGCUUCAAUAGGUUUUUAGAAACCCUUGGCAUCUUGCCAUCAGCAACAUGGCUUUUCUCCUUCUGUGAUUCAGAUGUGGGAAAUGGGAAUCCAAUAAGAAAAUAAGACAGUUCAUUCAUGUUGCAGUGUGUCAUAAACUGACACCAGUGAAUAUCGUGUGACAAGCCCUAAGUGACAUAAUGCGAUGUGAUGCAUCAAAACUACAUCAUGUUCAAAACCCAACAAAAAUGAUUAUCUGCAACAGUUUGAAUUAACUGUGGAUGGAUAGAAUCUGUGAGUCAUUUGCCAGAGCUAUGACUUUAUUAGAAAUGUUGCUGCUCCUAUCCAAAAUACUCAGCUUUCAGUAUGAUUAAAGUUGAAUAGAAUGUAUGUGAUGUCUGAGGUUUCUGGUUUUAGGUUAAAACCAAAUAAUACCCAAUAAAGUGAAGAAAAAAUAUGUUAGAUUUUCAAAAGAAUACAUUGAAAAUAUCCCAUACGUAUCAUGUUUUAUUCCAAUGCUGAAAAUUGUUUCUAGAAGGAACCAAAAGCCCUGUAUUAUGCACACCAAUUCAUCCUCAGGAACAUGGCCCUUCAAGAUUUCCCUCUGAAAAUUUACAAAUGACACCAUGCAAUUUAAAAUAUGUAUUCUGCAUUAUUGUUGAAAGAGAUAUGAAAUGCUCAUGUAGAUUUUCAGCACAAUUGAACCAAAGCAUAAGCAAAAUUUCCUGGGUCUGAAAUUGCAGUUUCAGAACAAAUCACCUGACAUGUAUCAGUACGGUACACACUGACAAUUUUUCUUUUUUUUAAGAAAAACAGUUCACAACAGUUCGCUAUGUUAUGUUUUUCUACCAGUGGACAAUGACAAUCAGAGUAACCCUCAAAACAGAAUUCCACUGUCUGAAAAUGAGUUGUGAGCCCUGAAAUGCAUCUACUUUUGUGAACAUAGCUCUCCAGUGUGGGACCACUGAUAUAAUGAAGUGGUGAGUCAGGCCCUGUGAGACUUGCUUUCUAACUUGUAACACUUGUAUAGAGAAUAUACUAUCACUUGUUUGCCCAAAUCCAAAACCUUUUGAACUUAUAAACAAGAGCCUUUUAAAUAUUGCAUACUUGUAGAACUGUCAUUACCUCUCUAUUCUGGCUGGGCUCCGUGGUUGCAAAAGAGUGAUGAAAUCCUUAGGGGUUAUUUUAUAGCAGUGGUUUUCAACCUGUGGUCUGUGGAUCCCUGGGGGUCUGCAGACUAUGUCUAAGGGGUCCACAAAAGAUCAAUCAAAAGUAUGUGAAUACCGACACUUACAAUUCAAAGGGGUCCACACCUCCAUUUGAAAUUUCCAAAGGGGUCUGCACCUGCAUUUGACAUUUUUUUAGGGGUCAGUCUGAAAAUGAAAAAAGGUUGAAAACCACUUGUCUAUAGUCCUACAGCCCAGACUAAAUCCUGUCUUCUCUGUUAUGACAUUACCCUCACAACCUUAUAUGUAGGGACCUACCAAAUUCACAGGCCCCAACAGCCAAUCACAUGGCUGUAACAUGGCCAGGGCCCUUGAUUUCAUUUCCGUAUCAUGGCCAGGACUGCCAUUUUGAAGGUGGGGCAAAGUACCCCCUCCCUAGCCCUCUGAUUGGCUGAGGAAUGCUGCAAGUCCCACCCCUCCCUGGCAUUGAGUGAAAGCCCUAGUUGAAGCUGUCUGGAUUGUUAAUUCAGUAAUUAUUACCCUUUUCAAGGGGCAGAGGACCAUAAUUACUGAGUAAAUAAACAGUUUAAGUGUGGCAAUUAAACAAUGCCCAUACCAAAUUGAAAUGUAAAGCUAGCUACCUGGCUAGCAGGAGAAAGGGAGUUUUGGUGGGCUUUUCCCUGCUCCCCUUCUCCUCCCUUCCCCUUCUGGAAACAGAGAGAUGGGAACUUUUCCUGUCUCUCUCUCCUCUCCCCGUCCCCCUCCCCCUUCCUCUCCCCGUCCCCCUGCCUGCCUCCCUCCCGCCUCCCCCCCACUUUCAGGAGAUGGGCAGUCUGCCUUUUUUGCCCCUUUGUUCCCUUCUGCCUCCCCCCGUGCUUCUAGGAAACAGCUUUUUGUCAGCUCUUUACUAGCUUUUUUAACAUAGCCAGUUCCCUGCACUUUUUCACGGGGAACUGGCUAUUUCACAGGAGACUGCCAAUUACACGAUUUCACAGAAAUCGUGUAUUUGGUAGGUCCCUACUUAUAUGGUAAUGUGUGAGUCUUGUAGUACCUAGUGUUCUUAAAGCAUCACUCCUUGGAGAUAAAUGUUGAAAUGAGAAUCUCAGUUUUAAUUAGAAAAGGAAAUAUCUAGAUACCACAAGUGGCCUCUAAAGGGUUAAAAACCUGGGAGUAAACAGAAAGAACUCCAACUUAAAAUAAUUUGCUGAUUUUUUUUGCCAAUCUAAAAGUGGAAAGACCCAUUGUUGAUUCAGUAAUCUCUCUAUCUUCAUGUUACAGUACAGAAUACAAUUCUCCCCAUGUAAGCAACACCUAGUAAAAGGUUGGAAAAAAUGAAUGACACACAGAGAAAGUGAAGCUGCCAGACAGCUCCAGAACAAAAACAAUCUGUUGAGUAAUAUGGGCUUGUUGUGGGCAGACACAAUUCUAAGGUCCCUCAGGGAAACUGGAAAUAUAGGUCAGGAAGGCACAGGACAUAGCUUGUCAGGACACCUGUAAGUGCUCCAGACCACAAAGGAUAUUUCUGUCUCAUCCAUCCUCAGUCCUCUCUCCUUCUUUUCAGUAGACCUGAGGGCAUUAGUGCACUCCCAAGGAUUUUGUAUAAAUCAUAAUUCUCUGGAGGUCCUUCACAGGGUGUGGGGGGAGAGAGAGAGAGAGAGGGAGGGAGAGAGGAGGAGGAGGAGGAGGAUGGUUUGGGAUCAGCAGAGGAAGUUUAGGGAAUUCUUUAUGCCAUAGCUAGGCAUAGAGUGGCUCAGCGGUCCUCUGCUAGGGGAGCCUGACCAUCCUGAAGCCCAACCAAGCCACUAUGGAAUCUCUAUCCACAGCAAUAUAGUAUUAAUGCAUGCCUAAAGUUUUAAAAUUCAUAUUGUUCCUACCAGGUUGACUUAAACACUGCAUAACCACUAUCAAGGUGAAACUAGUUGCCAUGUGCAUUAAGGUGGCUACAUUGUUUUUGAUUUGGGGGUUAGCAUAUGUGGAGCAGGAAUGACACACUCUUCUAAAUUUAUCCCUGCAUCCACUCCUGUUCUUGUGCUCAGAUAUGGCUAAAUAAAGGCCUUUGAUUAUGUGUGCUAGUGCCCUGAAAUUGUCAUGGGGUUGGGCCCUGGUUCUGUGGGCAGCAGCUCUUCUGAGCCCACCCUUAGGUACUGACACAUGGAAUUCAACCAGCAGUAACCCAUAUCUAUGGACCUGGAGGGAGGCAGAGAUCUGAAACCCACUGAAAUGCCCUGGUCCAUGUAAAAUGUCCGGGGGUGAGGCAGGCUGAGUAUUGCCAUUGCUAGGAAGGGUGGGAGUGGGAGGUGGAUCAGGUUUCCACUCACCGCUCUGCAUCUGUGAAUUAGGCCUUAACUAGGGUUAUUUCAAACUGGCUCAGCCACUGAGCACCUUAAUUGGCCCAUCAAUCCUUAACUGGGCCACUGGCCCAUACACAAUUGCUGUGGUCCAAGCACAGUGCCACCAAUUCUCACCCUCUGUUGUACAGAACAGAAUGCCCCUUCCUUUCUGGUAUAUUCCAGGGUUGAGGGGCUAUCUGUACUGAUUGCCAGCCCCAUACCUGAGCAUUUCUCCAAUCCAUGCCCCACCCCUAUAACACCAAGUCACCCCUGAGCCAUACGCCAACCCCAGGGCCAUGCACCACCCCAGAGCUUUGAGCACUCAACCAUCACCCUUUCCUCAGAAAUUGCUGAAACUUACUAAUAACUGGUGCUGGGUUGCCUGUGUCUGCCUGCUCCAUGAGGGUAUCGUCCAAACUGUCCCCAUCUUGUGUGUCCUGGGUCUGAGUCUAGGUAGAGAAGAAGGGUACUAAGCAGCAUCCUCAUGCUCCCUCCUGGCCGUUUCAGUAGCAGGUGGCAGAGAGGGGACUCCACUGUCAUUUUUUGUCAUCAUUGUCAUAGCAUCAUUGAAAAUGAGGAUUGAAAGAGACCUCAGGAGGUCAUCUAGUUUAACCCCUUGCUCAAGACAGGACCAUCUUCAACUAGAUCAUCCCAGCCAAAGCUUUGUCUAACCAACCUUUGUCUUAAAAAUCUCCGAAGAUGGAGCUUCCACCAUCUCUCUGGGUAACCUGUUCCAGUAGUGAGAUUUUUUUUCCUAAUAUCUAACCUAAACUUCCCUUGCUGCAACUUGAGACCAUUGCUCCUUGUUCUGUCAUCUGCCACCACUGAGAACAGUCUAGCUCCAUCCUCUUUGGGACCACCCUUCAGGUAGUUGAAGGCUGCUAUUACAUCCCCUCUCAGUCUUCUCUUCUCUAGACUAAAUAAGCCCAGUUCACUCAGCCUCCCCUCAGAAGUCAUGCGCCCUAGCUCCCUAACCAUUUUUGUUGCCCUCUGCUGGAGUCUCUCCAAUUUAUCCACAUCCUUUCCGUAUUUAAUUUUGGGCCCUCCAUUACAAUACUCCAGAUGUGGCCUUGCCAGGGCUGAAUAGAGGAGAAUGAUCACUUCCCUUGAUUUGCUGGCAAUACACCUACCAAUGUAGCAUGGUAUGCCAUUAGUCUUCCUGGCAACAGGGACACACUGCUGGUUCACAUUCGGCUUAUUGUCCACUGAAACCCCCAGCUCUUUUUCUGCAGAGCUGCUGCCCAGCAAAUCGACUCCCAGCCUGAACAGGUGUGUGAGACUGUUCCAUUCUAAGUGCAAGACUUUGCACUUGUCCUUGUUGAACAGCAUGAGAUUUCUUUUGGCCCAAUCCUCCAACUUGCCUAGGUCACUCUGAAUCCUAACCCUACCCUCCAGUGUAUCUACUACUCCCCACAGCUUGAUGUCAUUUGCACAUUUGCUGAGGGUGCACUCUAUGCCAUCUCCCAGGUCAUUGAUAAAGACAUUGAACAAAACCAGCCCCAGGACUGACACCUGGGGAACUGCACUUGAUACCGGCUGCCAGCUAGACAUUGAACCAUUGAUUAUUACCCUCUGAGCCUGAUGCUCCAGCCACUUUUCUAUCCACCUUACAAUCCAUUCAUCCAGCCCAUACUUCCUUAGCUUGCCUCUGAGAAUGUUGUGGGAGACCAUACCAAAAGCCUUUCUAAAAUCAAGGUAUACCACAUGCACUGGUCUCUCCAUGUCCACAGAACCAGUCAUCUCAUCAUAGAAGGCAAUCAGGUUGGUUAGGCAUGACUUGCCGUUGGUGAAUCCAUGCUAACUGUUCCUAAUUAACUUCUUCUCCUCCAAGUGCUUAGAAAUGGAUUCCUUGAGGAUCUGCUCCCUGAGUUUUCCAGGGACUGAGGUGAGGCUGUCUGGUCUGUAGUUCCCUGCAUCCUCCUUUUUCCCUUUCUUAAAUAUGGGCACUGUGCCCUUUUCCAGUCAUCCAGGACCUCUCCUGAUUGCCAUGAGUUUUCAAAGAUGAUGGCCAGUGGCUCUGCAAUCUCAUCAACCAACUCCCUCAUCACCCUUGGGUUCAUUCCAUCCAGCCCCAUGCACUUGUAUAUAUGUCCCAUGCUGCUUUUUCUAAAUAGUCUUUCACCAUUGUUUGCUGCUUACCUCCUCCCCAAACUGUGCUGCCAGGUGCAGUAGUGUGGGAGAUGACCUUGCAUAUUAUGACUGAGGCAAAAAAGGUAUUGAGCACUUCAGCCUUUUCUGCAUCCUCUGUCACAAGGUUGCCUCCUCCAUUCAGUAAGGGACCCACACUUUCCCUGACCCUCCUCUUGCUACUGACAUACUUGUAGAGACCCUUCUUGUUACCUGUCAUGUCCCUUGCUAGCUGCAACUCUAAUUGGACUUUGGCCUUCCUGACUUCAUCCUUGCAUGCCUGAGCAAUACUCUUAUACUCAUCCCUAGUUAUUUGUCCAAGUUUCUACUUCUUAUAAGCUUCCUUUUUGUGAUUUAGUUCACUGAAGAGUUCCCUGCUAAGCCAAGCUGGUCUUCUGCCAUACUUGCUAGUCUUUCUCCAUAUCAGGAUGGUUUGUUCCUGCACUCUCAGUAAGGCUUCUUUAAAGUACAGCCAGCUUUCCUGGACUCCUCUUGCCAGUGCUGCCCCAUCAGACUGCCUUCCCAGGGGAUCCUACCCAUGAGUUCCCUGAGCGAAUUGAAGUCUGCUUUUCUGAAGUCCAGGGUCCUUACUUUGCUGCUUUCCAUCUUUCCUUUCCUCAGGAUCCUGAACUCGAUCAUCUCAUGGUCACUGCUGCCCAUGUUGCCAUCCACUACUACAUUCCCCACCAAUUGAUCCCUGUUUGUGAGCAGCAGGUCAAGAAGAGCAUGGCCCAUGUCAUAACACCAUAGCCCCCUGGGCAUACAGUUUGUGGUGUAGUGGGGAGCAGUGGUGCAGUCCUCCCCAAGGAUCCUUGACAGCUCUUCACAGAAAGGGACCCUGGUCUUUAUGGCACCCAAGACAUUCUUUGCGUCCCUGACCCCUGCCCUGAACAUACUGCCAGUCCUGAUGGUGCCCGAGUCACCGAGCCACCAUGCAUAGAUUAUCUGGUUUUGUUGGCUAUCCUUCAUAUCCUUGGCAGCGGUAUCAAUGGUUCUCUCCUUACCCCAGAUCACAAUGAGAUCCAGCACUUCACCCUAAUGACAGUUCAUGACUCUCCUGUAGGGCUCUGAGAAAGGCAUUCUCUGGUUCAGAGUGCACUGGAGCACUCAAGCAAAAGUGGCAGACCUUGAUGAACCUUGCGGGUUUCAAUGGGUGCUUGGGGUGGUUCCAUGGGGGCAGGAGUUACACCCCCCUGGGGAAUGUAGGCACCCAUCUUGGGGCUGGUACCACCUGCACAAGUACUGGUACCACUCCUGUGGGUAGUAGAGUUCUGGAGGGUGGAUAGACAAGCUCUUAGAGCAGGAGAAGGAGUAGGGGGCUAGAAGUGGUGCAUCCUGAGAUGCUGGAGGAUAACAGAUAGCUCUUAUUAUCUCCAUAGAGUAGGCUGACAGUAGCUGAUCAUGUGUUCCUUAAUACAAUUUAGAGAUACAGGAGACCCUCGCCAUUCAUGGGAGAUACGUUUUCGUAUCCCCCAUGGAUGGCAAAAUUAAUGAAUAAGGCACUGUGUUCAUGAAUGCAGUGCCCUGGUUGCUGGGGGGGAGGGGGCACGGCUCCGGCAGCAAUAGCGGGAGCACAGCAGCAGGAGCCUGGCGGCAGCAGCAGGAACCCAGUGGCAGCAAGCGCGAAGCUCCCAAGGAACUCCUGUAAGUGUAUAAAGAGUACUUAAAAUGCAGUUUUGGCAUUUGCGAAUAUUUGAAACCGCUAAUGCCAAACCUGUGAAUAGCAAGGGUUUCCUGUACUCCUCACCCGAAAAGUCAUAAAUUUGCUAUGAUAAGAACACAUUUAGCAUGUGUUUUAUUGCUUGAAUGUGUGGUUGCUCAUGUUAAAAUGCAUUAAAUACAUAUUAAAAUCCCAUGGGACAUGACCCAUAGUUGAUGUUAUCUUAGCUUUGGUGUACCCAGCUAUGUUACAAAACCAUAGCAUAGCUUCUGACUAUGCUACUACUAUCUUCAUGUCUAUCUUAAUUAGGUAUAUUUGCCCACUUUUAAGACAAGAAACCAUUGAAAUUUACUAUUAUAUUAAUAAUCUUCAUGCCAUUAUUUUUUGUAGGUCUCUUGUGAGCUUUUUCUUUUUUUAACCUCAGAUCAUCUUUUACUCCUUAAUGGCAAGUAGUUUAUUUUGAGGAUAGAACUGACUGAGUUUUGUUUCCAUGCACUGUAUACGAUAUCUAAAAGACCUGAUGCAGAUGGAUCGAUAAGAGCUGAUUUUUAUUUAUUAUCCCAUCUUCUUCACUUUAUUUUUAUGACUCUUAAAGAUGUUCUAUCAUUGAUAUAUCAUUUUUGACUGUCUCCAAAUAAAAUGUAGUUUGGACAACA